UCUUCUGCCUCUCUCCGUCUGUGUCUAUUAUUGUUCGAAUUGCUCCUCCUCGUCUCCGUCACCCGGCGGCGAUCUCCGUCAGGUCGCCGUUAUAACGGCGUGAGAGGACGGACUCUGGUCACCUUCCCCGGACUCUUAUUCUAGCUUGUUUUCCCCUCCGCAUUUCCGAAGGGUUGGGAUGACCAGCCACGCCCGUGGCCCUGGGACGCUUGGCGCGCCGAGGAAGCGGAAGGAGCGCGACGCGUCCGGCCCUGCGCGUCCCCAGCUGGCGAGCUCGGCUGAGCCGGCUAAGGACGACAACCGGCUCCUGGCCGGCUACCUGGCGCACGAGUUCCUCGCGAGGGGAACGCUGCUCGGGAAGAGGCUCGGGCCGGACCGGGCCGACCCGGGAAAGAGGCCGCCUGAGUCGGGCCCGGCCGAGCCGGUGGGGACGUACAAGGAGGCCUCGUAUUUGUUGAUGCGGGGCGGGGCCCACGUGCCUGGCGUGGUCAACCCCACGGAACUGGCUCGGUGGCUCCAGAUGUGAUAAGGAAGGACACGUGGAGAUCAUCCCGUGGGGACGUACUGCAUGUCAUCGUCCUCGAGCCGGUAAGUGAUAAGAAUUUGCCGAUGAAGGACGACGUUCGACUGUUUCCAUUUCGUUUGGGUUCGUCGGUGUCUACUUUCUCGGUGAUGUUUCAUUGGAAAUGGCAGGAUUGUUAGUCCAUGUAUUCCUUCUCUCUUUUCUGUGUUUGCUCGCAUUGCUUUGCCUCGGAAUGAUGGAAACCCUAUUCUCUC